AGAAUUGAGCGCCGAUCUUGGUGGUACCGACAUUUUUGAGCCAUUAGAAGCAUUGUACGAAACACCAUCGAUCGAUGGAUACUCGAAGCAGUUCUUUAUUCUCACCGACGGCGAAGUUUACGACACGGAGCGGGUGCUCGGAAUAGUUAAGGCUAACGCACAUAAAGUACGAGUGUUUACACUUGGUAUCGGUGCAUCCGCAUCACAUUAUUUGGUUGAAGGAGUUGCCACAGCUGGUGGUGGAACAGCGGUUUUUGUAGAUUAUAACGAAAGCAUGGAUAAGAAGGUUAUCAAUCAACUGAAAAAUGCAUUGCAACCGUCACUGUUCAAUGUCACAAUAAAGUGGAAUGAAUCGGCUACAGAUGAUGUUCCAGAGCGACAAAGCGUCCGAUUUUGUUGUGAAUACAGCUAGAACUUUAAUCGGCUAUAACAAACCAAUCGAGACUGAAGCAGUGACCUCCAGAAUCGCGCCUUUCGGGGAUCAAACAAUCACCCAAGAAAGUUCGUCCAAUAUUUGACGGGUCACAGUUGUUGGUAUUUGGAAUUUUCAAAAAAUGGUGGUCCGAAAUCGGUGCUUAUUACGGCGCACACACCUGAUGGGCCACUUACUGUGCGAAUAGAGCAUUCUCCUUCCAAUAAUCUCGACGGAAAUGGAAAUUUACUUCAUCGUCUUGCAGCGAUAAAACUGAUGCGUGAGCUGGAAAUGGAAGUUUCUGCAUUGCAAUCCGAACAUUCGGAAGCAGAGAAGAUCUUGAAAAACGAAAUCAUAGAAAUUGCAUGUCAGAACGGAAUUGCGUCCAGAUACACUUCCUUUAUUGCCACUGACGUGAGAAACGACAAGCAAU